GACGAACGCUGGCGGCGUGCUUAACACAUGCAAGUCGAACGGAAAGGCCCUGCUUUUGUGGGGUGCUCGAGUGGCGAACGGGUGAGUAACACGUGAGUAACCUGCCCUUGACUUUGGGAUAACUUCAGGAAACUGGGGCUAAUACCGGAUAGGAGCUCCUGCUGCAUGGUGGGGGUUGGAAAGUUUCGGCGGAUGGGGAUGGACUCGCGGCUUAUCAGCUUGUUGGUGGGGUAGUGGCUUACCAAGGCUUUGACGGGUAGCCGGCCUGAGAGGGUGACCGGCCACAUUGGGACUGAGAUACGGCCCAGACUCCUACGGGAGGCAGCAGUGGGGAAUAUUGCACAAUGGGCGGAAGCCUGAUGCAGCAACGCCGCGUGCGGGAGGACGGCCUUCGGGUGGUAAACCGCUUUCGCCUGUGACGAAGCGUGAGUGACGGUAAUGGGUAAAGAAGCACCGGCUAACUACGU
rnacentral:rRNA from 1 species